UUUGGGUGGCGGACGGGUGAGUAACGCGUAAAGAACUUGCCUCACAGCUAGGGACAACAUUUAGAAAUGAAUGCUAAUACCUGAUAUUAUGAUUUUAAGGCAUCUUAGAAUUAUGAAAGCUAUAAGCACUGUGAGAGAGCUUUGCGUCCCAUUAGCUAGUUGGAGAGGUAACAGCUCACCAAGGCGAUGAUGGGUAGCCGGCCUGAGAGGGUGAACGGCCACAAGGGGACUGAGACACGGCCCUUACUCCUACGGGAGGCAGCAGUGGGGAAUAUUGGACAAUGGACCGAGAGUCUGAUCCAGCAAUUCUGUGUGCACGAUGAAGUUUUUCGGAAUGUAAAGUGCUUUCAGUUGGGAAGAAAAAAAUGACGGUACCAACAGAAGAAGUGACGGCUAAAUACGUGCCAGCAGCCGCGGUAAUACGUAUGUCACGAGCGUUAUCCGGAUUUAUUGGGCGUAAAGCGCGUCUAGGUGGUUAUGUAAGUCUGAUGUGAAAAUGCAGGGCUCAACUCUGUAUUGCGUUGGAAACUGUAUAACUAGAGUACUGGAGAGGUAAGCGGAACUACAAGUGUAGAGGUGAAAUUCGUAGAUAUUUGUAGGAAUGCCGAUGGGGAAGCCAGCUUACUGGACAGAUACUGACGCUAAAGCGCGAAAGCGUGGGUAGCAAACAGGAUUAGAUACCCUGGUAGUCCACGCUGUAACGAUGGAUUACUAGUGUUGGGGUCGAACCUCAGCGCCCAAGCAAUACGCGAUAAGUAAUCCGCCUGAGGGAGUACGUACGCA
rnacentral:rRNA from 1 species